AUUCCAUAAUAGUAUUUGAUUAUUUAUCACGAAACGAUGUGAGCUACAUAUGAAGUAACAAUUACGUAGCAAAGUAAUGUCUCAUACAUAUGUAGGGGUGAUAGUCCUCUCAAGCGUCGAGAUAACUUGUUGUGGAUGAAAUAUAUUAAGUAUAAAAAACGGACUAUAAAAGUUAAGCUUUAUAGUAAAGACAAAAGCUCUUAUUAUGACUUUCACAUAGUUUAAUUGCUAGUAUCUUUGAUAUAAUAAUAUUAAUUAUAGUAAUUUGUCAACUUUAAUCUACUACAAUCAAACUCUUAAUAGUGUAUACAAUGUAAUUAUGAGUAAUAAUAUAAACUUUAUUUAAGGAACUCGGCAAACGAACCUCUCAACUGUUUAUCAAAAACAUAACUAUAUGAAAUAAUAUAUAGCUUUUUCUGCUCAAUGGUACUACUAAAUAGCCGCAGUACCCUGACUGUGCAAAGGUAGCAUAAUCAAUUGGCUUUUAAUUGAAGUCUUGUAUGAACGAAGUAAUGGGAAGUGACUAUCUAAGUGGAUUUAUUUGAAUUUGAUAAGUAAGUGCAAAUACUUACAAGACAAGAAAGAAGGACGAGAAGACCCUAGAAACUUGUAAAUUAUUUUGUUGGGGCGACAGAAUUACAUAGAACUAAUUUUAUAUGACUUGACGUAAAGCAGACAGAUAAAGUUACUCUAGGGAUAACAGCAUAAUUUUACCGUUUGUGACCUCGAUGUUGGACUAGGUAAAUAAUUCUUUAGAAGAGAGACUAUUUUGCUCUGUUCGAGCAGUUUUACCUACAUGAUCUGAGUUCAGACCGG
rnacentral:rRNA from 1 species